AGGGAAGGGAAGUCAAUUGGAGAAAUGCUGCUGAACUAGAACUUGAACUCCUCCAACAGAGCACCGGUCAUCUACACUCAGGACAAGAUAGGAAGGUAUAGAUGUCAUGGGAUUAGUCGAUUCUGUUUAUGUGGAACUUUAUAGGGGUGUCUAACUGAGUCACCAGGUCCCUAAGCACGACCCUGGGGACAUACAUAUUUGAGAUAUGGUCAUUGUCAUUUAGGCUUUGCAAGCAGAGAUGGAGAGCUCUGUCUGAUGCAGCCACUUGUCCGUUCAAGCCUGUCUCCUGCCUGUCAGCCAGAAUGCUGUUUGUGUUGUGCUUGUUUGCUUUUGACAAUAUCCCUAGAUCCCCUUCUGUUACAGAAAAUGAUGCUCCGUGUAGCACAUUCUUUCACAUGCCUGAAGUUUGCCAUUAAGUCACCAAAUAACAGACAUUAUAGUCUUUCUUCUUUUCAUUCCCAACAAAGGUUUCAGUACUCCAGAUCCAACUACAGCUACUGCAUAGAGAUGCCUUGAAUUUAUGAAAGGGGUACCUGAGGUUUUAAAUACAUUUUUACCAUUUGAAACAGCAGGAGUCCCACAACUCAACUCCCACUCUGGAAAUGCAGCCCGGAAAGGAGUCUACGCUUUCCCUGCAUGGAAACCAAACUAUUAGUAUAGAAUGAUGAGAUGGCCUGGGGACAUGAUUAAUAUAAAUGGACCUAUACAUACAGGUAAAAUUCUCUUUUAGUAUUAGGCCUACGGGUAAAAUCACUUUACAGAUGCCAGGUGAUUGUCAUCCAAGCAGGCAAAUGGAAAUUGUUUUUUAUUCUUCAUAAAGCUGACAAGAGACAAUGCUUCUCUGAGCCAUAGAAUAUGAAUAUGAGCAGGUUUGGCUGUGAUUCCAGACCUGCCUAUCUUUGGAGAGACUGACAGCACUGGCGCUCAGAGUUUAGAAAUCAAAUCUGAGAGAGGGCAUGCACGUGAAUAAAUUAGCAUAUCUUAGUGUCUCCAGAUUUCACCGCUGUGAACCUCAUUUUCCUCUUGGAAAAAAAAAUUAAAACAUAAAUCACUUACAUGGGCAGGACCUAAAUGUUGUGAUUAUUCAUUCAAAAUCUAAGUGAGGUCUUUCGUUAAAUAUUAAUGUUUGGCAACAAAAGAGAGAAUAGUGCCUGUUGAACAAGUGCGGGCAGUGCUAUAAGCUACUUUCAAUAGACAAUUUUGAUAUGGGUGAUAAUAGUGAGUUUUCUAUUUUAUAGAUAAAAAUGAAAAGCCAGACAAGUUUGUUGGCCAGUUAUUUCUACACUGGUAAGCAUUUAGAUUUUGGCUAUGACAUCACUAAAAUGUGGAUAACUGCUACUUCUUUCCAGGCUCAUGAAUUUUCUUGUACAGGUUCUCUUGCAAAAUUUAAUGUUAUUACUGACAACCAACUUAUUUCCAAGAAAAGAUAAGCAGAUCAAUACAAACUUCUGUAAGUGUUCUGAGCCUUUCAGAAGGAAGAGUUGCUCUGAGUAUGUAAAUGCUAUGGGCUUAACGAAAGCAGUUUCAAAAAUGAGAAGAUAGAAAACAGGCAAACUGUGCUUUGACCAAUUUCUAAGUCUUCAAGUCAGAUUUUAUUGAAUCGUAAUUCAAGCCCUUGGAGGUACUAAUUUGACCCCGAUGACAGAGGCAAGGAGACUCAUUCGUGUGGAAAAUUGUCAGAUUAUAAUAAACCGAAACACCAGAGUACACUGUUGAUUAACUUUUACAAUUAUAGCGCCACAGAUAACCCAAGACAUGAAACUGAUGUGUUUUAUGUGGAUUUAUUUCCCCUAGAGAGGACUCAAUGCUAAUAGCCUGUGUCGGAAAUCUAUUCCUAUGUCACAGAAUCCCGUCAUUCGCCUGAUUCCACCCACUGUGGAGACAAAGAAUGAUUCUGACUCACUUGCUACAUAAAACUUAAGAGAACAGAUCCCAAAUCUUGGAAUCAUAGCAUAGAUAGCUUUGUUUUUGCUUUCCUGCCCUACCUUCUUUUGGUGGCAGCCCCUUGUCUUCCCUUUGAGGAAAUAUUCUGCUCUUCCAUUGCUCAAUCUUGAAAUGAUAGUUAAAGAGUCCCUCCCCCUACCUGCCCUGACCUAAGCUCAGUCAAUCAGCCUCUACUUCCUGGGAACAAAAUACAUGAGAAAAGUGUUUUUCCUAAAAAUCUGGAUAUGUUGCCUUUCCUUGAGUUCUUGUAGUCAUUCCACUUCCUGCCAAUAAGGCUUAUAUUGUUUAAAUUAACUGGAUCUAUUCUGUUUCUGUUGCUUAUAGCCAAAGACUCUAGACACAUAAAACCAUGGACGUCUAUAGUUGGCAGGGAUCUUCAUAGAAAAAAAAAAAAUGUAGGAAACCCAGGGAGCUAUGGAAAUCCAGAAGAGAUGGUGUGAGAGAAAUUCACAAGCCACAAUAUUAGGCUGGUUGCUACGUGGUCCUUAAAAAUAGCCAAGGAGAGAUGGAGGGUUGGUGCAGCGACAGGCACAUUAGAACAAGAGUUAAGAAACAGGAGUCCGAUUCACUUAUUUCACAAAUAAGAACAUGAAAGCUCAGAGAGAAGUUAUUUACUGAAAAUAUUAGAGCCACCCAUAGAAUCAAGGUGUCCUGAACUCCAAGUCCAGUUUGCUGGGUUUGCGUCAUAUACAAACUUCCUACAAAUUUUGCUUUCACUCAUUUUAGGUGUUUGACAUGCUCAAUUGAUGGCUGCUUCCAGAAUUAGACUAUGUAUUCUCAGUAGUCAAAUAUAUGUUCUGCAAGCUGAGCCCAUGACUGAAUAGGAGUCGUAAUAGUCUUCCCUCUGACUUGCACCAUCCAGCCCUGAGAGCUAGGCAUCUGUUCAUCCUCAAUGUUUAUUUCAGCGUUUUCUUCUUGAGAUUUUAUCCAGUUUAUCUGUCCCAAAGGAAAUGAUCGGUGUUGGCAAAAUUAACCUGGCCUUCAGGCAAAGGAAGUUAAGCCCAUGACUCAUGGAGUCAGCCUUACUGCCAGAGCAGAUAGGGAUAAAACAGAUCAGAGAAGAUACUCCAUGUUUAUUCUAGUUUGCUGGCUGACUUGAAAAUCAAGUCUAAGCAGAGACCACAAGUACUUAUGGAAUAUCUGUCAUAUUCCCAGCACAAUUACAGGCUUUCUGAGAACCAGCAAAACAAAAACUAUUCUUCAAAGCAAUGGAAACUCUUUAUAAAAAAAAAAAAAAAUGCUAACAAGAGCUAAAUUUUACAUGAUAGGCCACAGCGCAAGAGUUUCUCUGAUUAAGUACCUUUCUGAUCCAUUGGUCAUAAAAGCUCAGCCACAAAACGAAGACUAUUAAAAAUCAAAGUUGGCCACCCUCCAGGUCAUAUGCAUCCCCAAUAUGGAAUUAAAAAACCUUGAGCCAAAAAGAAGUCAUGAAAGCCAGAGAUAUAAUUUCCUUCAAAGGAGUUCAAAGCCACUUAGAGGUAAUCUUUCAUUUUUCUAAUCCAUUUCUCUGAGAGAGAAUUGAGACAAAAUUCUAAAUUCAUACUUUUUUUCCCUUCGAGAAUGAAUGGAAGGAAAAGGUUAAUUAUGGCUUUAGAGAUGUUUAACAAGGUAUAAUUAAAUAUCAGCUUCAUGGGCCCUUCAACAGCCAUGGGGAAUUUUAACAGAAGAGUUGGAACAGCAGAACUUUUUUCCAGCCUGGCCAAGUACCAUUGCUCUCCAAACAGAGUCAUGAAACUGAAGGAAAAGCACUCCUGCAGCAAAUUCAGCCACUUUGCCCAACUGCAGACAUGUAAUUUUGGUAGGAAUAAAAGCUGGUACAGCAGAUUAAAACAAAAACAACAUGUCAUGUCUAAUCUUGAUUUGACUAUUAUUCAGAUGUGUGAUCUUAAACAAUUUAUUUAAUUUCCACAUCUGUAAAAUAUGAGAUCCACUGCUAGUAGUAAAGAAGACUAAAUAUAAGGAAGACCCUCCAAUUAAAACAUUGGAUAAAGUAUUUUAUCCAAAAUUAAAAAAAAAUACAUUGUGCUAUUAUUCACCAAGGGAAAAAUCUUCUGAGGCAGAAAACCAAGUAUAAGACCGAGCAUUUCCCUUGGAGUCACCUAAUGAACCUUGAAUUUUGAGUUUUGCUUUCCGUUCUGUAAAAAUUCUAGAAUAAAAAGAAUGCCUGGGGCCCACGCUAAGUGGAGAGUCUAACAAAAAGACAAAGACAGCAAAAAGACUGCAUUCUCCAGGGAGUUCCCUGGUGGUCUAGUGGUUAGAGCUUUGCACUUUCACCAGGAGCACUGGUUUCAAUCUCUGGUCUGGGAACUGAGAUCCCACAUCAAGCUGCUGCACACAUGGCAAAAACAAACAAAACUACAUUAUCCUUAUUCUGAGCCAUAAAAAGGCCUUUUAAAAGUUCAAAAAAUUGAUAUCCUAUAAAAAGGGACAAAAAUGUCCUUAAUUUAAGAUUACAUAAUUUAUUGUGGGUAAAUUUUAGAUAUACUUUCAAAUAAUUCAUGUAAAUGUUGUCUUUAUGCCCAACCUUGUCUAGAAUUGUCCCAUUGUGUCAAGUGUCUUCAUAUAAUUCAUGAUCAUGCAAACCUUCAUUCCCAGAUAUGUCCUAAUUUCGAGAGUAGAGUAUAUGAUCAUACAACUGAAGGCUCAAGAAAAAAUUCAUAAUUUUUAAUUACUUAGAACUAAAUAAUAAUUAUGUAUUUACAUAUGGAAAACUGUGAGGUGCAAUUCAAGUGAUAAUCAGAGGAACAAUUACGGCCUAAAAUUCUUAUAAGAGGGAGCUCCUUCAUGGAUUAGCAGCUAACACAACUAGGAUCUACAAGGCUGCAGGUUCAAUCCCUGGCCUCAUUCGGUGGGUUAAGGAUCUGGCAUUGCCGUGAGGUGUGGUGUAAGUCACAGACAUGGCUCGGAUCCUGCAUUGCUAUGGCUGUGGCGUAGGCCGGCAGCCUUAGCUCUGAUUCGACCCCCAGCCUAGGAACCUCCAUAUGCUGCAGAUGCGGCCCUAAAAC
rnacentral:lncRNA from 1 species